UGUGUAGUUAAUAACUGCGCAUCUUGACGUUAGCAACAGAAGAAGCACCGGCUAACUCCGUGCCAGCAGCCGCGGUAAUACGGAGGGUGCGAGCGUUAAUCGGAAUUACUGGGCGUAAAGCGCAUGCAGGUGGUUCAUUAAGUCAGAUGUGAAAGCCCGGGGCUCAACCUCGGAACUGCAUUUGAAACUGGUGAACUAGAGUACUGUAGAGGGGGGUAGAAUUUCAGGUGUAGCGGUGAAAUGCGUAGAGAUCUGAAGGAAUACCAGUGGCGAAGGCGGCCCCCUGGACAGAUACUGACACUCAGAUGCGAAAGCGUGGGGAGCAAACAGGAUUAGAUACCCUGGUAGUCCACGCCGUAAACGAUGUCUACUUGGAGGUUGUGGCCUUGAGCCGUGGCUUUCGGAGCUAACGCGUUAAGUAGACCGCCUGGGGAGUACGGUCGCAAGAUUAAAACUCAAAUGAAUUGACGGGGGCCCGCACAAGCGGUGGAGCAUGUGGUUUAAUUCGAUGCAACGCGAAGAACCUUACCUACUCUUGACAUCCAGAGAAGCCAGCGGAGACGCAGGUGUGCCUUCGGGAACUCUGAGACAGGUGCUGCAUGGCUGUCGUCAGCUCGUGUUGUGAAAUGUUGGGUUAAGUCCCGCAACGAGCGCAACCCUUAUCCUUGUUUGCCAGCGAGUCAUGUCGGGAACUCCAGGGAGACUGCCGGUGAUAAACCGGAGGAAGGUGGGGACGACGUCAAGUCAUCAUGGCCCUUACGAGUAGGGCUACACACGUGCUACAAUGGCGCAUACAGAGGGCAGCAAGCUAGCGAUAGUGAGCGAAUCCCAAAAAGUGCGUCGUAGUCCGGAUUGGAGUCUGCAACUCGACUCCAUGAAGUCGGAAUCGCUAGUAAUCGUGAAUCAGAAUGUCACGGUGAAUACGUUCCCGGGCCUUGUACACACCGCCCGUCACACCAUGGGAGUGGGCUGCAAAAGAAGUGGGUAGUUUAACCUUUCGGGGAGGACGCUCACCACUUUGUGGUUCAUGACUGGGGUGAAGUCGUAACAAGGUAGCCCUAGGGGAACCUGGGGCUGGAUCACCUCCUUAUACGAAGAUAC
rnacentral:rRNA from 1 species